AUAUAAGUGAAUACUGCCCUGAACAUGCCAGAUCUAGUCUGAUCUCAGAUGCUAAACAGUGUUGGUCCUUGUUAGUAAUUGGAUGGGAGACAUUUUGAUUUUUAGGAAUCAUAAAUGUA
rnacentral:rRNA from 1 species